UGACCUCGGAUCAGGUAGGGAUACCCGCUGAACUUAAGCAUAUCAAUAA
rnacentral:rRNA from 27 species